GAUGAACGCUGGCGGCGUGCCUAAUACAUGCAAGUCGAGUGAACAGACGAGGAGCUUGCUCCUCUGACGUUAGCGGCGGACGGGUGAGUAACACGUGGAUAACCUACCUAUAAGACUGGGAUAACUUCGGGAAACCGGAGCUAAUACCGGAUAACAUGUUGAACCGCAUGGUUCAACAGUGAAAGACGGUCUUGCUGUCACUUAUAGAUGGAUCCGCGCCGCAUUAGCUAGUUGGUAAGGUAACGGCUUACCAAGGCAACGAUGCGUAGCCGACCUGAGAGGGUGAUCGGCCACACUGGAACUGAGACACGGUCCAGACUCCUACGGGAGGCAGCAGUAGGGAAUCUUCCGCAAUGGGCGAAAGCCUGACGGAGCAACGCCGCGUGAGUGAAGAAGGUCUUCGGAUCGUAAAACUCUGUUAUUAGGGAAGAACAAAUGUGUAAGUAACUAUGCACGUCUUGACGGUACCUAAUCAGAAAGCCACGGCUAACUACGUG
rnacentral:rRNA from 1 species